GACGAACGCGGCGGCGUGCUUAACACAUGCAAGUCGAACGAAGAGCGAUGGAAGCUUGCUUCUAUCAAUCUUAGUGGCGAACGGGUGAGUAACGCGUAAUCAACCUGCCCUUCAGAGGGGGACAACAGUUGAAAACGACUGCUAAUACCGCAUACGAUCUAAUCUCGGCAUCGAGGAUAGAUGAAAGGUGGCCUCUACAUGUAAGCUAUCACUGAAGGAGGGGAUUGCGUCUGAUUAGCUAGUUGGAGGGGUAACGGCCCACCAAGGCGAUGAUCAGUAGCCGGUCUGAGAGGAUGAACGGCCACAUUGGGACUGAGACACGGCCCAGACUCCUACGGGAGGCAGCAGUGGGGAAUCUUCCGCAAUGGACGAAAGUCUGACGGAGCAACGCCGCGUGAGUGAUGACGGCCUUCGGGUUGUAAAGCUCUGUUAAUCGGGACGAAAGGCCUUCUUGCGAAUAGUGAGAAGGAUUGACGGUACCGGAAUAGAAAGCC
rnacentral:rRNA from 1 species